GAAGUAGAAGCGGGUGAAGAGGCGGCACCUCUAUUUCCUACAGGAGGAAACAGAGGAGAGGAGGUGCUGUGCGUCGGGGAGAAGAAGGGGAGGAAGGAGAAGAAGAAAGGAAGGAGAAGGAAGAGGAGAAGGGAAAGAAGUAGCUGUGGCUGCGGCUAUGGCUGCGGCUAUGGCAGGGAAAGAAGAAGAGGUUGUAGUUGCGGUGGUGGCGACUGCGUCUGCGGUAGCUGUGUUUGGGAAAGAAAAAAGUAGGAACGAGAGAAGGGAGG
rnacentral:lncRNA from 1 species